UGGGGAAUAUUGGACAAUGGGCGAAAGCCUGAUCCAGCCAUGCCGCGUGUGUGAAGAAGGUCUUCGGAUUGUAAAGCACUUUAAGUUGGGAGGAAGGGCAGUUACCUAAUACGUGAUUGUUUUGACGUUACCGACAGAAUAAGCACCGGCUAACUCUGUGCCAGCAGCCGCGGUAAUACAGAGGGUGCAAGCGUUAAUCGGAAUUACUGGGCGUAAAGCGCGCGUAGGUGGUUUGUUAAGUUGGAUGUGAAAUCCCCGGGCUCAACCUGGGAACUGCAUUCAAAACUGACUGACUAGAGUAUGGUAGAGGGUGGUGGAAUUUCCUGUGUAGCGGUGAAAUGCGUAGAUAUAGGAAGGAACACCAGUGGCAAAGGCGACCACCUGGACUAAUACUGACACUGAGGUGCGAAAGCGUGGGGAGCAAACA
rnacentral:rRNA from 1 species